UGGUGGGUUGCCUUGUCAGGUUGAUUCCGGUAACGAACGAGACCUCAGCCUGCUAAAUAGUUAUUCCUACUUUGGUGGGAGUGAACUUCUUAGAGGGACUAUUGGCGUUUAGCCAAUGGAAGUGUGAGGCAAUAACA
rnacentral:rRNA from 1 species